UGAAGGUAGGCUCUAAUUCUCUCUCUCAAAUUCCUCUCUCUUCCUCUCUCUAAAAUUUCCCGUCUCUCGCUACAUGCAUAUGGACCACUACAAGGUCCUUGAGCUGAGGAGCGAUGCCACGAAGGAAGAGAUCAAGGAAGCGUUCAGGAAACUAGCUCUGAAAUUCCACCCAGAUAGGCACACCCACUCCUCAAAAGAGAUCAAAGAAAGCUCAAUUCACCGGUUUAAGCAGAUUUCAGAAGCUUAUGACAUAUUGGGUGAUGAUAAAAAGAGGGCAAAUUAUGAUAGAGGAAGGGGACCUUUCAAUAGAGGGGUCAAUUAUUCAGGAAGUUAUGGUUUCUAUAAAAGUUCUUACAGACCAAGAACAAGACCCAAGUCCAGUAAUUACAGUGGGUUUGAUUCUGGUAUUCUUUUUCAGUUCUUAACCCAAAGGCGGUUUCUUCUUAAUGUGGCCUUUGCAAGUAUCUUGUUUGGCGGGGCCGUUUUCAUAAAAACAAGUGGGGAUGCAAUAUGGAAGAUGCGUAACUCUGGGCAGCUAUAUGGUGGAGUUGUCACUUUGAAAAGCCCAUGCCAAUAUUCAGAAAAUGGGGGAAAAUACUCCAGGCCAAGGCAGUCUCCCAAAUGAAGGUGGGGGGAUAUGGUGUCUUCCGUCAAGGUUUUUGCCAUCAAGUGACCACCUAGGUUGUGUCAAAGGUGCUUUCAUCAAUAACCUGGCUCAGUGGCAGGAGAUUCCAUAGAUUCGGGCCACGGGGCGCAGAAAAUGAGACAGGAGAAAUCAUUUGAAGAAGCAAUGGAGUCUAUAGAGAGGAAGCGCAGGGAAAAAGUCGAAUAGAAGAGCAUUCAAAUGGAUAACACUCAAAUGUGUAUAAAGGAUUUUAUGUCCUCACUGAAAAGGUGGAGAGAUGAGUUCUGAUUCUUGUAGCAAAGGUGCCUAAUAGUGUGCUCUCUGCAGUUCUUUUUUGAAUGUUAAAGUUCUCUUUGCAGUUCUUUUAAAUGCUGUGAUAAUUUCUUAUUUUGCUUUUGUAUUAUUCUGAGCAUUCAUUAUGUAUUCACUAUGUGAUGGUUCUUGUAUUCUAAACAUGAAUGAAGUAUUCUUCUCCGUUCUUUGUC